UGGAGGCAGAUGUUUAGAUUCCACUCUGUACCUUUACAGGCACUCAGAAACACAACUUCGACUGGAAACAAUGCAGAUAUUAAUAUAUCAUGAUGAUCUUAGCUCCCACAUGUCUGGCUCAAGAAUACUAUGGAAAUAAGGAGGGGCAUGUAAAAUAUGUCAAGAAGUUGGUGGAGGAGAAACUGGUUAGAAUACAUCAUAUGAGAGAAG
rnacentral:sRNA from 1 species